rnacentral:lncRNA from 1 species
AUGAUGCGGACAGUCUUCAGCCUGGUUCUCAUCAGCUCCCUUUUUGUCAUCAAAAGUGAAGCACUGCAGUGUUACACCUGUGUAGGUUCCAGCGACGAUGACUGCAACAGACAAGGGACACAGCAGUGCCCGGGGCAUUCGGAUGCGUGUGCGGUCAUGCGAGGACAAGCAAGUGGUGUGAUGAAGUCCUGCUCGUUCCGCUCCUUCUGUGAGAGGGCGAUGAGGGAUGGAGCCAGAGCACCCGGGGUGAGCGUCCACUGCUGCUACUCCAGCCACUGCAACGCCAAGAGCCGCGGCGCGAGGCUCGGCCCCUCCAACGGCUGCUUCGUCCUCCUCCUCUUGUCCCUGUGUUGGCACCCGCUGUUGAAGCUGACAUGA